GAUGAACGCUGGCGGCGUGCCUAAUACAUGCAAGUCGAGCGAACAGAUAAGGAGCUUGCUCCUUUGACGUUAGCGGCGGACGGGUGAGUAACACGUGGGUAACCUACCUAUAAGACUGGAAUAACUCCGGGAAACCGGGGCUAAUGCCGGAUAACAUUUAGAACCGCAUGGUUCUAAAGUGAAAGAUGGUUUUGCUAUCACUUAUAGAUGGACCCGCGCCGUAUUAGCUAGUUGGUAAGGUAACGGCUUACCAAGGCAACGAUACGUAGCCGACCUGAGAGGGUGAUCGGCCACACUGGAACUGAGACACGGUCCAGACUCCUACGGAGGCAGCAGUAGGGAAUCUUCCGCAAUGGGCGAAAGCCUGACGGAGCAACGCCGCGUGAGUGAUGAAGGUCUUCGGAUCGUAAAACUCUGUUAUUAGGGAAGAACAAAUGUGUAAGUAACUGUGCACGUCUUGACGGUACCUAAUCAGAAAGCCACGGCUAACUACGUG
rnacentral:rRNA from 1 species